rnacentral:rRNA from 1 species
AUGAGUUAUCUUGGGCUUCAUUGGACAAAUGAUCUACCUGGAGCAUUGAUACAGAAUUAUAUCAAGUUCGCUUUCAACUGUACAUGGCUACACCUGCAACAUGAUGCAUUUCUCUUCCAGUUUAUUGAAUAUGUGAAGUUCAUACAAUGCGCCAGGUUCUACUGCAACAGCACGACAUACAAAGUCAUGGAGGAGAGGUGUUCAGAGAAAGAGUUAUACAUGUGCCAGGUUCUGAAGUAUGAGGAUCCGGUGCGACAGGAAGCAACUCUGAAUAUGGUUCCUGUAGAUGAACUUAAGGAGAAGGCGCUUAUUUCACUGGCCAAGCUUGAAAAACGGUUGCCCAUAGCCUACAUGUUUUCAGUUUCUACUUUGUAUUAUCGCCAUGUCUCAUUGAAUAAUAGAAGGCAAUCAAUGAAGGAUAUUAUUGUGAAUAAUUCGGUGUUAAUGCUCAUAGGUGUGGAGAGUCGACCACGGCGAGCUUGGCUAAUGUCAACACGUGAAGCUGGGUCAAGUACAGAAGACGAAACACAAGAUUCAAGAUCACUCUCCUGUUCUAUUUUCUUUCAGGCCAUGAGUUACGAUGUCUUGGUUAGAGCUACUACAUUCAAAGAGUAA